GACGAACGUUGGCGGCGUGCCUAAUACAUGCAAGUCAACUGAAAUACCGGUAGCAAUACUGGUAUGGAGGUGGCGCACGGGUGAGUAACACGUAGGUAAUCUGCCUUCAGGUCUGACAUAACCCAUCGAAAGGUGAGCUAAUAUCAGAUGAUGCAGCGGCUUGACAUCAAGACAGUUGUUAAAGCUUCGGCGCCUGAAGAUGAGCCNGCGUCUGAUUAGCUAGCUGGCGGGGUAACGGCCCACCAAGGCUGCGAUCAGUAGCUGGUCUGAGAGGAUGAUCAGUCACACUGGAACUGAGACACGGUCCAGACUCCUACGGGAGCAGCAGUAAGGAAUAUUGCUCAAUGGCCGAAAGGCUGAAGCAGCAACGCCGCGUGAGGGAU
rnacentral:rRNA from 1 species